rnacentral:rRNA from 1 species
CAGUCGCCGCGGUAAUACGAAGGGUGCAAGCGUUAAUCGGAAUUACUGGGCGUAAAGAGCUCGUAGGCGGCUUGUCGCGUCGGAUGUGAAAGCCCGGGGCUUAACUCCGGGUCUGCAUUCGAUACGGGCAGGCUGGAGUGUGGUAGGGGAGAUCGGAAUUCCUGGUGUAGCGGUGAAAUGCGCAGAUAUCAGGAGGAACACCGGUGGCGAAGGCGGAUCUCUGGGCCAUUACUGACGCUGAGGAGCGAAAGCGUGGGGAGCGAACAGGAUUAGAUACCCCCGUAGUCCCUGUCUCUUAUAC